GCCCUUAGAGUUUGAUCAUGGCUCAGAACGAACGCUGGCGGCAGGCUUAACACAUGCAAGUCGAGCGAAGACUUCGGUCUUAGCGGCGGACGGGUGAGUAACGCGUGGGAACGUGCCCUUUGCUACGGAAUAGUCCCUGGAAACGGGGUUUAAUACCGUAUGUCCUCUUUGGAGGAAAGAUUUAUCGGCAGAGGAUCGGCCCGCGUUGGAUUAGGUAGUUGGUGGGGUAAUGGCCUACCAAGCCGACGAUCCAUAGCUGGUUUGAGAGGAUGAUCAGCCACACUGGGACUGAGACACGGCCCAGACUCCUACGGGAGGCAGCAGUGGGGAAUCUUAGACAAUGGGGGAAACCCUGAUCUAGCCAUGCCGCGUGAGCGAUGAAGGCCUUAGGGUUGUAAAGCUCUUUCGCUGGGGAAGAUAAUGACGGUACCCAGUAAAGAAGCCCCGGCUAACUCCGUGCCAGCAGCCGCGGUAAUACGGAGGGGGCUAGCGUUGUUCGGAAUUACUGGGCGUAAAGCGCGCGUAGGCGGGCUGGAAAGUUGGGGGUGAAAUCCCGGGGCUCAACCCCGGAACUGCCUCCAAAACUAUCAGCCUCGAGUUCGAGAGAGGUGAGUGGAAUUGCGAGUGUAGAGGUGAAAUUCGUAGAUAUUCGCAGGAACACCAGUGGCGAA
rnacentral:rRNA from 1 species